rnacentral:rRNA from 1 species
CGCUGCUAUCUGCAGUCGAGCGAUCUUUCGGAACUUGUUUCGAAAGAUUAGCGGCGGACGGGUGAGUAACACGUGGGCAACCUGCCUGUAAGACUGGGAUAACACCGGGAAACCGGUGCUAAUACCGGAUAAUCCUUUUCCUCUCAUGAGGGAAAGCUGAAAGUCGGUCUCGGCUGACACUUACAGAUGGGCCCGCGGCGCAUUAGCUAGUUGGUGAGGUAACGGCUCACCAAGGCGACGAUGCGUAGCCGACCUGAGAGGGUGAUCGGCCACACUGGGACUGAGACACGGCCCAGACUCCUACGGGAGGCAGCAGUAGGGAAUCUUCCACAAUGGACGAAAGUCUGAUGGAGCAACGCCGCGUGAGCGAUGAAGGCCUUCGGGUCGUAAAGCUCUGUUGUUAGGGAAGAACAAGUACCGGAGUAACUGCCGGUACCUUGACGGUACCUAACCAGAAAGCCACGGCUAACUACGUGCCAGCAGCCGCGGUAAUACGUAGGUGGCAAGCGUUGUCCGGAAUUAUUGGGCGUAAAGCGCGCGCAGGCGGUCCUUUAAGUCUGAUGUGAAAGCCCACGGCUCAACCGUGGAGGGUCAUUGGAAACUGGGGGACUUGAGUGCAGAAGAGGAAAGCGGAAUUCCACGUGUAGCGGUGAAAUGCGUAGAGAUGUGGAGGAACACCAGUGGCGAAGGCGGCUUUCUGGUCUGUAACUGACGCUGAGGCGCGAAAGCGUGGGGAGCAAACAGGAUUAGAUACCCUGGUAGUCCACGCCGUAAACGAUGAGUGCUAAGUGUUAGAGGGUUUCCGCCCUUUAGUGCUGCAGCUAACGCAUUAAGCACUCCGCCUGGGGAG